rnacentral:rRNA from 1 species
AGGGGAACAACAGCUGGAAACGGCUGCUAAUACCCCAUAGGCUGAGGAGCAAAAGGAGGAAUCCGCCCAAGGAGGGGCUCGCGUCUGAUUAGUUAGUUGGUGAGGCAAUGGCUUACCAAGGCGACGAUCAGUAGCUGGUCCGAGAGGAUGAUCAGCCACACUGGGACUGAGACACGGCCCAGACUCCUACGGGAGGCAGCAGUGGGGAAUUUUCCGCAAUGGGCGAAAGCCUGACGGAGCAAUGCCGCGUGAAGGCAGAAGGCCCACGGGUCAUGAACUUCUUUUCUCGGA